rnacentral:rRNA from 1 species
AUUGAACGCUGGCGGCGUGCCUAACACAUGCAAGUCGAGCGGUAACAGGUGUAGCAAUACAUGCUGACGAGCGGCGGACGGGUGAGUAACGCUUGGGAAUCUGCCUAUUAGUGGGGGACAACCCGGGGAAACUCGGGCUAAUACCGCAUACGCACGUACGGUGGAAAGGCCGGGGACCGCAAGGCCUGGCGCUAACAGAUGAGCCCAAGUCGGAUUAGCUAGUUGGUAGGGUAACGGCCACCAAGGCGACGAUCCGUAACUGGUCUGAGAGGACGACCAGUCACACCGGAACUGAGACACGGUCCGGACUCCGUACGGGAGGCAGCAGGUGGGGAAUAUUGGACGAAUUGGGCGAAAGCCUGAUCCAGCGACGCCGCGU